GCUGGGCAUGGUGGCGUGUGUCUGUAAUCCCAGCUACUCGGAAGGCUGAGGCAGGAGAAUUGCUUGAACCCGGGAGGUGGAGGUUGCCAUGAGCCGAGAUCAGGCCAUUGCACUCCAGCCUGGGCGACAAUAGCAAGACUCCGUCUCAAAAAAAAAAAAAGAAAAUCGAGACAGAGUGUUGCUCUGUUGCCCAGGCUGGAGUGCAGUGGCAUGAACAGAAGGCUCACUGCAGCCUCAACUUCCUGGGCUCAAACAAUCCUCCUGCCUCAU
ensembl:misc_RNA RN7SL847P RNA, 7SL, cytoplasmic 847, pseudogene